UGACUGUUUAGAGAGAGAUGAGAGAUGAAUAUGUAUUAUUUGAUUAAAUUUUUAAGAAGAAGGCAUAUUAAAAUGUACUGGAAUUGAAAAUGAUAAAAAAUAAAUAAAAGAUCUAUCGGCCAGAGCUCCCUGGCUAGAACCCUUUUUGUACUACUUUCGGGUGUAGUGAGGUGCAGUUGAUGGCGCAUUGGCCGGUGACGGCGGGUAGGCGCAAGUUGGUUCGCGGUUACAACGGUUGGAAAAUAGAAUUUGAAAAGCGGAUCUGAAGGUUUGGAGGUUUGAAAAUCAUGGAGUGAUGCCUACGUAACUUAAUGGUCGGUGAUUGAUCAGAAAAUUUUAGCCAGUAGCAGAAUGAGUAGAAAGAGCCAGUUUUUUUUUUUUUUUUUCUAUUUUCUUUAUAUGCCGUGUUGUUUUGUAUGAUUUUACACUGCACAAACAGUGGUUCGAGUGGUCUACAUUAAUGGUUUUGUUUCAAUGUUCGAAUCGGAAUCGUAUCCGUGUUUGGAUCAGAAUGAUAUGCAUGUAUUGAAGCUAUUGAGGGCAGAGGGCUUUAAUAGUGCUGCAUCAAGGUUUCUAUGAUCUGGGAUGAGGUUAUGAUGACCUAAGAAUUGAGAUAAGGGCUCAUCGAGGGAUUUUUUGUUGAAUAUUAGGGAUGAAUUUUGGUUGAUCUUUUGUGGGUUCUUAUUUUUGUUCGUCUGUGUUCUGUUGGUAGAAUUGUGUUGUGUAGUAUUAUUGGACACUACGAAUUUUCUAUUUUUGAUUGAAAUGGGGUUUUACCUGCAGUGAUGGAGGUGGAUUCCUCCCAUACUUUAUUAGAUCUUAAUGUGUGAAACUAUUUAGUCUCAUUUCGGUUAUUAAAAAUUUG
rnacentral:lncRNA from 1 species